rnacentral:misc_RNA from 1 species
UCCGGUUUGGCACCGGCAGUCUCACUAGAGUGCCCGGCUUUACCCGCUGGUAACUAGUGACAAGGGUUGCGCUCGUUGCGGGGCUUAACCCAACAUCUCACGACACGAGCUGACGACAGCCAUGCAGCACCUGUGGCGCACCCUCGAAGGUCACACGUUUCCGUGCGCUUGCAGCGCCAUGUCAAGCCCAGGUAAGGUUCUUCGCGUCGCGUCGAAUUAAGCCACAUGCUCCGCCGCUUGUGCGGGUCCCCGUCAAUUCCUUUGAGUUUUAGCCUUGCGGCCGUACUCCCCAGGCGGGGUGCUUAAUGCGUUAGCUACGUCACGGGAGGAGUCGACACCUCCCACAACUAGUGCCCAUCGUUUACGGCGUGGACUAC